UGGCUCAGGACGAACGCUGGCGGCGUGCCUAAUACAUGCAAGUCGAGCGGACAGAUGGGAGCUUGCUCCCUGAUGUUAGCGGCGGACGGGUGAGUAACACGUGGGUAACCUGCCUGUAAGACUGGGAUAACUCCGGGAAACCGGGGCUAAUACCGGAUGGUUGUUUGAACCGCAUGGUUCAAACAUAAAAGGUGGCUUCGGCUACCACUUACAGAUGGACCCGCGGCGCAUUAGCUAGUUGGUGAGGUAACGGCUCACCAAGGCAACGAUGCGUAGCCGACCUGAGAGGGUGAUCGGCCACACUGGGACUGAGACACGGCCCAGACUCCUACGGGAGGCAGCAGUAGGGAAUCUUCCGCAAUGGACGAAAGUCUGACGGAGCAACGCCGCGUGAGUGAUGAAGGUUUUCGGAUCGUAAAGCUCUGUUGUUAGGGAAGAACAAGUACCGUUCGAAUAGGGCGGUACCUUGACGGUACCUAACCAGAAAGCCACGGCUAACUACGUGCCAGCAGCCGCGGUAAUACGUAGGUGGCAAGCGUUGUCCGGAAUUAUUGGGCGUAAAGGGCUCGCAGGCGGUUUCUUAAGUCUGAUGUGAAAGCCCCCGGCUCAACCGGGGAGGGUCAUUGGAAACUGGGGAACUUGAGUGCAGAAGAGGAGAGUGGAAUUCCACGUGUAGCGGUGAAAUGCGUAGAGAUGUGGAGGAACACCAGUGGCGAAGGCGACUCUCUGGUCUGUAACUGACGCUGAG
rnacentral:rRNA from 1 species